rnacentral:rRNA from 1 species
CGGAGGGUGCGAGCGUUAUCCGGAAUUACUGGGUUUAAAGGGUGCGUAGGCGGCUUGGUAAGUCAGGAGUGAAAGUUUGCGGCUCAACCGUAAAAUUGCUUUUGAUACUGCCAGGCUAGAAUCAGGAUGAGGUCAGCGGAAUGUGGCAUGUAGCGGUGAAAUGCAUAGAUAUGCCAUAGAACACCUAUUGCGAAGGCAGCUGGCUAGACCUGUAUUGACGCUGAGGCACGAAAGCGUGGGGAGCGAACAGGAUUAGAUACCCUGGUAGUCCACGCCCUAAACGAUGCUUACUCGACGUAUGGCGCUAGACGUUGUGCGUCCAAGGGAAACCGUUAAGUAAGCCACCUGGGGAGUACGACCGCAAGGUUG